AGGCCUAACACAUGCAAGGUCGAACGCGAAAGUGAUCUUCGGAUCGCGAGUAGAGUGGCGCACGGGUGAGUAACACGUGGAUAACCUGCCCUAUGAUCUGGGAUAACAUCUCGAAAGGGAUGCUAACACCGGAUAAGCCUACGCAAUCUUCGGAGCGAGUAGGAAAAGAUUUAUCGUCAUAGGAUGGGUCCGCGGUCCAUUAGCUAGUUGGUGGGGUAAUGGCCUACCAAGGCUACGAUGGAUAGCUGGUCUGAGAGGAUGAUCACCACACUGGAACUGAGACACGGUCAUACUCCUACGGGAGGANAGUGGGGAAUUUGCCAAUGACAAAGUUGCCACANUCCGAUGAAGGAUAANGCCUUGGUCGAAACUUUGNAGUGNGAAGAAAUNCCGNAGGAAUACGGCCCACAAAGGAACACCGNUAACUCCUCCACAGCGNGUAUCAAGCGAUCGUUAACCUGAGAUAGUCCUUAUGAGGGUAAUUCUAGCUUGCGAAUAUGG
rnacentral:rRNA from 1 species